UUAAAUCACAGAUUCUCAUAUGAUCAUCGAAGUUAAGCAAUGUCAAGCCUGGUCAGUACCUAGAUGGGUGACUGCUUUGGAAUACCAGGUGCUGUAAG